UGUACAAGAGGAGCAAGAGGUUCGAUGAAAAAAGCAGCCCUGUGGUUUGAUUACAAGGUGUAGCCCUGCGGCGUGCUUCAUGCUUCCAAGGCUGGAGAACACACGCACACCUUCAGUGUUGGUGUCAUUUGAAGAUGUGGCUGUGGACUUUACCCAGGAGGAAUGGCAGCACAUGGACAACACUCAGCGGACCCUGUACAGGGAUGUGAUGCUUGAGACUUAUAACAAUCUGCUGUCCUUGGGUGA